rnacentral:rRNA from 1 species
UACGGAGGGUGCGAGCGUUGUCCGGAAUCAUUGGGCGUAAAGGGCGCGUAGGUGGCGACCCAAGUCAAUGGUGAAAGCUCGAUGCUCAACAUCGAGUCGGCCACUGAUACUGGGUUGCUGGAGCACUGUAGAGGCAGAUGGAAUUCCGGGUGUAGCGGUGGAAUGCGUAGAGAUCCGGAAGAACACCAGUGGCGAAGGCGGCUCACUGGACUGGUAUUGACGCUGAGGUGCGAAAGCGUGGGGAGCAAACAGGG